AUAUUGGACAAUGGGGGGAACCCUGAUCCAGCCAUGCCGCGUGUGUGAAGAAGGUNUUNNGAUUGNANAGCACUUUAAGUUGGNNNNNAGAGUUGUAGGAUAAUACCUUGCAAUUUUGACGUUACCAACAGAAUAAGCACCGGCUAACCUCGUGCCAGCAGCCGCGGUAAUACGAAGGGUGCAAGCGUUAAUCGGAAUUACUGGGCGUAAAGCGCGCGUAGGUGGUUCGUUAAGUUGGAAGUGAAAGCCCCGGGCUUAACCUGGGAAUUGCUUUCAAAACUGACGAGCUAGAGUACGGUAGAGGGUAGUGGAAUUUCCUGUGUAGCGGUGAAAUGCGUAGAUAUAGGAAGGAACAUCAGUGGCGAAGGCGACUACCUGGACUGAUACUGACACUGAGGUGCGAAAGCGUGGGGAGCAAACAGG
rnacentral:rRNA from 1 species